GGGGUUGUGGCUCAGUGGUAGAGUGCUUGCCUAGCAUGUGUGGGUUCGAUUCUCAGCACCA
rnacentral:tRNA from 1 species